AACGAACGCUGGCGGCAUGCCUAACACAUGCAAGUCGAACGAGUACUUCGGGUCUAGGGGCGCACGGGUGCGUAACGCGUGGGAACCUGCCCUUAGGUUCGGAAUAACUCCCCGAAAGGGGUGCUAAUACCGGAUAAUGUCUUCGGACCAAAGAUUUAUUGCCUUUGGAUGGGCCGGCGUUGGAUUAGCUAGUUGGUAGGGUAAAAGCCUACCAAGGCGACGAUCCAUAGCUGGUCUGAGAGGAUGAUCAGCCACACUGGGACUGAGACACGGCCCAGACUCCUACGGGAGGCAGCAGUGGGGAAUAUUGGAAAAUGGGCGAAAGCCUGAUCCAGCAAUGCCGCGUGAGUGAUGAAGGCCUUAGGGUUGUAAAGCUCUUUUACCCGGGAUGAUAAUGACAGUACCGGGAGAAUAAGCUCCGGCUAACUACGUG
rnacentral:rRNA from 1 species